UGUGGUGUUCCUUUCACCUCUAUAGUGGCAUCCAGCUUAAACCAGGCCCAGCUCCUGCUACACUUCUUUAACAAGCAACGCCUCAUUUUCACCCAAUUCUCUCAUUCUGAAAAUUAACCACAUACUGUAGAGGGAAAACAUUAGUUCACAGAUAGUUUGUUCGUUAACUAGUUAACAUUUCACACAGAUUGCCAGGGUCCAGUAAGCCAAUGACGCGUUAUAAUUUGAGGAACGAACGGCAAGGAGUCGUAUAACGUCACCAGUUAAUACUAUAGCGAAUUGGUUAGGUUACUAACGUUAGCUCAUCUGUUGUUGUAACGUUAGCUAGCUAACACCAUAAACUCAAUUAUUUGCUCAGUUAAAUUGGCUAAUGUUGCUCAACAUUUCUCUGACUAACUAACGGAUAAUUCGAUACAACUAGCAAGAUACUUAACAAUACUUGUUCCACCACAAUUCCUCCCUCAACUCAAACUUUCCAAAUGCCAGUUGAUUUUCGGUUACAGUUCAUGAAGUACGCAUCAUCACCUUCUCACCCCCGUCUCCGUACCUAAUCGUUAUCGUUCAGUAAGUUAACUGGCAAACUGCCUUUCCACUCACCCGCAGUCUUUCCAGAGCGUGCGCGGAUGUCUCUUCAGUCGCGUGCUGCAUUCUGUCAUGUGAACGAUUGCCCGAGCCUUGGAUACAGACAGUAUUGCUCCAAACGCGCAUCACUCGUUCGCAUACAGUUUGUAAUCAUCCAACCCCCCCCUCGCCUAAACUUUUCUCAUAGGAUCUAAACAAAUCACGUAGGUCACCUAUUUUGGAUUCAAAAUGGCGAAUUUCGCCAAAAGGCGACUAGCUUUGCAUCCCUGAUGUUAACAUUAUGUAUUUGGGGAAGCAAGGGAAGGGAAGAGGAGAGGAGUAACACCAGUGCUUUCCAGGGGAUUAUUCCGGUUGGUUCUCUGCCCCAGGACGAUAAGAAGACAAAGAGUAUCCAGACGGUAAUUUGAGGGAUCCCCGUGGCUGGAGACACAGUGAAAAUAGCAGCUCUGUACUGGCAAGGCUUCUGUGUCUGGGAGGUUGUGUUGCGUUGUGCCAGUGUGGGCAUGGCACUACCCAGAAAGCCAACCGGGAGACUGAGGCCUGAGACUGAGGCUGGGGCCCAGGCCAUCUCUGUGCUACAUCCAGGACUGUGAAAUGGUACAACGAACCAGAAUGGAAAAUAUCUCUGUUUGAAGGGUUAUGUAACAUCAGUGUGUUAAUGUUAUUAAUAAAAACAUACUGUGCCAGGUCACUUUCAAACACUGGACUAAUGACA